UGCGUCAUCAAAGCAACAAUCUUUAAAUUCAGCAACAAUCAAUAAUAAAUAGACCAUUCUGGAUUGCUGAAAAUGAAGGCAAUUACCCUGCUGGCUAUUCUUUCCAUUGUGGGGAGCUGUUAUGCUGCUCUGCCUAUUGUUACUUGCAAAUCAACAAAUAAUCUUAAGGUUAAUGAAAUCCGUCUCUCUAACUCAACCUGGACAUGUGAGAAAUACCCUUGUGUUGUCUACAAAGGACUAAAUGUUAGCAUUACUAUUUCAUUUGAAAAUGUUGCUGCUACUGAUAUCACUACACUAACGAAUGUUGUGUACGGAGUUGUUUUAGGAAUUGCACUCCCAUAUCCUAACUUUCCACCCGAAAUGAAGAAUGUAUGCACUCUGGGAGACAGUUCAUCAUCUUGCCCCAUCAAAAAGGGAGACAAAUUCACUGAGAAAGUUAUUGUACCUAUCUCAGAUGCAGCCAUCUCAGGGAUGAAAGUUGUGGCAAGAUGGCAGCUCAUGAAUGGAAGCAGCGUAGAAGGCUGCUUUGAAGUCGAACUAGAAAUUAUGUAGUAAAAUCAGUCGAAGACAAAUUAUAAUGAAUAUCAUGAACAGGAGUUGUUGCUUGGUUCCUUUCUGUAAGUGUGUUAUCGUUUGCUCAGUUGUUGAAAUUACAUGUGUGUGACAUUCAUUAGGAAAACAUUUCAACUGCUUGUGGCACAUAAAUAUUGUUAAUAGAUAACUUUAAGCUGAUUCGGUUGCUAACAGAGUCAAUGCUUCAUUGUAACUGCUCUUAAAGCCUGACUCUAUAUAAUUGUCUCAAACUAGCUUCAAGGCAUUAAUUUGGUGUUUUCUCUUGUUCUUUGCUGCAUGGCCAGUAAUCUCUCCAGCUUGGCAAUCACACCGUAGUCAUCAAGAGCCUCACUAUCUUGUAACUCUGUAUUGUCCUUGAGUAGCCUCUUCACCGCUGCCUUGAAAGACACCAACUGCAGAGCACAGCAAAUAAAUCACAUGCAUGCAGUAAAUAACAAUGGCAAUGAUAAAGUUUGCAAGCACAUAAUAAGUUAAGCAUCUAGAUUAUUACUAAAAAAUAGUAACAGGUAUACUUGUGUCAGCCAACUAAACAAGGAUUGAUGACUAACCUCUCUUUCUCUGUGUUUGGCCUCAUCCAACUGCUGCUGUGAGGUUUCUAGUUCUCCUCCAAGCCUUUCAAUAUUUAAUUGUCUUGAGAACUUCAACGAUGGUCUUCGUUUUUGAGUUGUCCUGUUUCUGUCUAGCUUCAGCCAGUUGCUGUGCCUGAUGUACUCUUGCCUGUGAAACCUCCUCCAGUGUCGCUAACAGCUGAGCCACUCGGUCUUCUAGGUUUCCAUUGUAGGUCUGAUACAUGUAGAUGUAUGUGUGUGUGUGUGUACAUAAUAAUAUACAGUUCAGGUAUAAGCAGACAUGUACGUGAUUGUAUCUAUAUACAUGUACACAUGUACUAUAACUUUGAGUUUUUGUGCAUCAGCAUUCUCCUCCUUCAGUUUCAUAAUGGUAUCUUUCUGCUGAGUUGCUAUAGUGUGAAGGCGUUCAAUUCCAUCUUCUUUUCCAUUUUUCUACCCUGUAAUAACAACUGCAUUAUACAGUAAGUAUACAUACAUGUAUGGUAACUUAAAGGUAUACACGUCACUAUUUAUAGUCACUACAAUCCAAGGGUGUGUGAUAGGAAUAGUAUGAAAGUAGGAGCAUAAUUAUGUACAUUGAACACAUUUAUGAUGAUUACAUGUACCAGGAGUAGCCAAUAGUCGCUCUUUCAUCACCGUUACCUUCUUCUGAACCAGGCCAAGGUGAAGCUCUUUGCUAUCCAGAGACUGCCGACAAGACUUGCGCUUCCGUUGGAGGGUAUACGCAGCAGUCUGCUUCUCGGCAAGUGAUUGAGUCUAGGUGUGUGUGUGUGUGUGUGUGUGUGUGUGUGUGUGUGUGUGUGUGUGUGUGUGUGUGUGUGUGUGUGUGUGUGUGUGUGUGUGUGUGUGUGUGUGUGUGUGUGUGUGUGUGUGUGUGUGUGUGUGUGCGUGCGUGCGUGCGUGCGUGCGUGUGUGUGCGUGUGGGGAGAGUAGUAGCGGAUGAGUACACGUGUAGUUGUGUAUGGGUGCUGGUGGGUGUAUUCCCUUACUGUACACAAGCAAGCGUAUUCACCUGAUAAUGUGGUCUGAUGUGUUGCGGAGAUAAUCAUCCGAUUAACACGUGAGUAGGAUGAGAGGUUAAUGGGUCCAAAUAUUUGUCAACAAGUGGUAUACCUUUGAGCCCUCAAGGAAACCACUUGUUGCAGCCAAAAAUAAAUUCCCUGAUUACCAUUACAAACACUGUUAAUUCCUGCAAAGGUUUCUACUGUGUGCAUGGUCAUGGUAUUUUAGUUACCUUAAUGUUACUAUUACAGAUGGGUAGUAAUUUUAGCGUUUUUAGAUUUUUCUCGGUACUAAUUUUGGAGGAUUUGCAUUAGCACAUAAAUAUACUAGUCAAAAGAUGUACAAGUAUAUGAGUUUAAGGUUGAAUGGAAAGUUUGGAGUCAGAUACAGAUGAAAAAAGGGCUAAGCUCUCUAAAAAGUACAUAAAAACACAUGAAAAUAAAAUUUUAAUGAGAUUCAAUUGCUAUUUGCGCGUACUUAAUUUAGCGUUAAUUUACGACAAAAGAUUGAAAAGGAAGGGGAUGCCGAGAGAAGGGGAGUGGUUUCUAGUCUAGCAUAAUUAUAAUAAGCAAGCCGAGCAGGGGUCAUUGGGCACAGAUUUAGCACCACAAGCAAAACACAAAUAGAGAGAGAUGCCUUCGCUUGACGAUUUGUAGUAAUUGUACUUAACGAUUAGCAAAUACGUGUGGGCAGUAAGAUCACGAAUUUAAUUACAUUCCAUUGGUUUUGUGAGCAAUCAAGAAUUGACUUCACGACAAGAGUGCUCAGACGGUGUUCCAAAGGAACAGUACGGCGGCUGAUUCAUGACACUACUUCCCAUCAAGGCACACACAACUAACUAGACUCGCAAGCCGUCACUGUUGCAGGCAAUUAGUACGCCUGCAACAGUGACGGCAUGCGAGUCUACAACUAAUAGCAAUGUAGCAGCUUGUCUCUCUUUGAUGGUCAAGACUUCAAACUGUACUCUCAGGAAUGAAUGAUCCAGCAAGGAAUUAAAGCUAUAAAUGUGUCAGAUCAUAGCAUGUACAGGAUCUAGGAAGAGUAUAAGGUGAUAAUUAGCAGAUAGUUCAUCAACACAGUCAUGAUCAACACGUGUACUUAGGUGCGCAUGCGCGCAUGUUCAACAUGUGUACUUAGGUGCGCAUGCGUGCACAUAAUUAUUAUGUCGCAUAUAAAUAAUUACUCUUGUGUCAUCAGAACAACUCAAAAUACCAUUCUGGAUUGCUGAAAAUGAAGGCAAUUACCCUGCUGGCUAUUCUUUCCAUUGUGGGGAGCUGUUAUGCUGCUCUGCCAAUUGUUACUUGCAAAUCAACAAAUGAUCUUAAGGUUAAUGAAAUCAGUCUCUCUAACUCAACCUGGACAUGUGAGAAGGAGCCUUGUGUUGUCUAUAAAGGACUAAAUGUUAGCAUUACUAUUUCAUUUGAAAAUGUUGGUGCUACUGAUAUCACUACUUUAACGAAUGACGUGUACGGAAUUUUUUUAGGAAUUACAGUCCCAUAUCCUAAAUUUCCACCCGAAAUGAAGAAUGUAUGCAUUCUGGGAGACAGCUCAUCAUCUUGCCCCAUUAAGAAGGGAGACAAAUUCACUGAGAAAGUUACUGUACCUAUCUUAAAUGCAGCAGAAUCAGGGAUGAAAGUUGUGGCAAAAUGGCAGCUCGUGAAUGGAAGCAGCGUAGAAGGCUGCUUUGAAGCCGAACUACAAAUUAUGUAGUUAUAGCCAAAGCCAGAAGUUUAUUUUUAUAAUAAAUGAUCAUGAACAGGAGUUGUUUCUUGGUUGCUUUCUGUAAGUGUGUUAUUGUUUACUUAGUACAUUUGUUUACUUAGUACAUAAUUAUGUACAUGUAUUAUUUUGUUGAAAUUACCAAAAUAAU